rnacentral:rRNA from 1 species
CCUACGGGAGGCAGCAGUGAGGAAUAUUGGUCAAUGGGCGGAAGCCUGAACCAGCCAAGCCGCGUGAGGGAUGAAGGUACAGAGUAUCGUAAACCUCUUUUGUCAGGGAACAAAGGCGGGGACGUGUCCCCGGAUGAGUGUACCUGAAGAAAAAGCAUCGGCUAACUCCGUGCCAGCAGCCGCGGUAAUACGGAGGAUGCGAGCGUUAUCCGGAUUUAUUGGGUUUAAAGGGUGCGCAGGCGGUCUGUUAAGUCAGCGGUCAAAGCCCGGGGCUCAACCCCGGCCCGCCGUUGAAACUGGCAGUCUCGAGUUGGAGAGAGGUAUGCGGAAUGCGCGGUGUAGCGGUGAAAUGCAUAGAUAUCGCGCAGAACUCCGAUUGCGAAGGCAGCAUGCCGGCUCCACACUGACGCUGAGGCACGAAAGCGUGGGUAUCGAACAGGAUUAGAUACCCGAGUAGUC